rnacentral:lncRNA from 10 species
AAGGCAGGAGGAUUGCUUGUGCCCGGGAGUUCGAGACCAGCCUGGGCCUCUGGCAAGCUAUGAGAGCCAGAUUGCCAAGCUACGGUCCGAGGUUGAAAAGGGAGAAGCAUUGCGACAAAGUCUGGAAUAUGACCUAGCUGUUGCUAGAAAGGAAGCUGGUCUUGGAAGACGGGCUGCUGAAGAAAGAUUAGCCGAGGCACAUAGGAUCCAAGAAAAACUCUGUGCACAGAAUUCAGAACUUCAAGCAAAGACAAAUGAGACUGAGAAAGCAUUUCAGACUUCUCAGCAAAAAUGGAAAGAAGAAUGCAGAAGAUUUGAACAUGAUUUGGAGGAAAGAGACAAUAUGAUCCAAAAUUGCAAUCGAGAAUAUGAUUUACUUAUGAAAGAAAAAAGCAGACUAGAGAAAACUCUACAGGAAGCGUUGGAAAAACAUCAACGGGAGAAGAAUGAGAUGGAGUCUCAUAUCAGGGAGACAGCAUUGGAGGAGUUUAGAUUACAAGAAGAACAAUGGGAAGCAGAAAGAAG